rnacentral:rRNA from 1 species
UACAGAGGUCCCGAGCGUUGUUCGGAUUCACUGGGCGUAAAGGGUGCGCAGGUGGGCUGGUAAGUUCGAUGUGAAAGCCCCGGGCUUAACCCGGGAAAGGCAUUGGAUACUACUGGUCUGGAGGAUUGGAGGGGGGACUGGAAUUCUUGGUGUAGCAGUGAAAUGCGUAGAUAUCAAGAGGAACACCAGUGGCGAAGGCGAGUCCCUGGACAAUACCUGACACUGAGGCACGAAAGCCAAGGGAGCAAACAGG